GGCCUAGUAGCGGAUCGUCCGCGCCUGCUUCUAAUACGUGGUACGUCAAACCAAUCAUCUAAAGGCAGGAAUCGCUCGUUCGAAUCGAGCCUGGGCCU